rnacentral:rRNA from 1 species
UGCGCAGGCGGUUCGUUGUGUCGGCGGUGAAAGCCCCGGGCUUAACCUGGGAAUGGCCGUUGAAACUGGCGAACUGGAGUGUGGCAGAGGGGGGUGGAAUUCCGCGUGUAGCAGUGAAAUGCGUAGAGAUGCGGAGGAACACCGAUGGCGAAGGCAGCCCCCUGGGCUGACACUGACGCUCAGGCACGAAAGCGUGGGGAGCAAACG